rnacentral:rRNA from 1 species
UACGGGGGGGGCAAGCGUUGUUCGGAAUUACUGGGCGUAAAGGGCGCGUAGGCGGUCAGAUAAGUCAGCUGUGAAAACCUCGGGCUUAACCCGAGGCCUGCAGUUGAAACUGUUUGGCUGGAGUGUGGGAGAGGAGAGUGGAAUUCCCGGUGUAGCGGUGAAAUGCGUAGAGAUCUGGAGGAACACCAAUGGCGAAGGCAGCUCGCUGGGACGUGACUGACGCUGAGACGCGAAAGCGUGGGGAGCAAACAGG